rnacentral:misc_RNA from 1 species
GCACCUACCGAUUGAAUGGUCUGGUGAAGCCUCGGGAUUGUGGCGAGUUCCCUUUAUUGGGAGUUUGUCGCGAGAACUUGUCUAAACCUUAUCAUUUAGAGGAAGGUGAAGUCGUAACAAGGUUUCCGUAGGUGAACCUGCAGAAGGAUCAAGAUCGGUCGAGCGUGGUGCAGGUAAAGAGUGUAGGUCUAUCUCGUUGCUGUAUCAUUAAUAAAAAAAAAAUAUCAUAACUCGCGCCAUGUCCGUCAUACUCUUCGUCAACAUCUUGUCCGUCAUC